GGACAGACCAACGUUUUGUGGAUGGUAACUAUUACUGUCACAAGGGAUACCAUGCCAUCAACGUGCUUGGGGUGUCGGACGCUACUCGCCGCAUCCUUUACCUAAAUGCAUGCUACCCAGGGAGCUGCCACGAUUCAGCUAUAUGGAGUUUGUGUGACCUCCGUCGCCAGGCUCCUCAACUGUUUGCAGAUGGCGAAUGGCUUUUAGGUGACCUCGGCUAUCCUCUUGAGCCCUGGCUCAUGACCCCAGUUCGCAGCCCUGCAACGAGUAGCGAGGAAGCAUACAAUGAAGCCCAUCGUAAAACAAGGGUCCGAGUUGAGCAAACAUUUGGUG